AUUAUACCUCGUUUAACUGCCAAAUAAAACAGCUACCGAUCGAAGGAAAUUUUCAUCCUGAUACUUCCUCAAACAAAUCACACGCCAUCUAUCUUGACAGAUCGUAUAGAUGCCGCUGGAAUAGGUUAUAAUAGAAAAUAGUUUGACGUAGCGGUGUCCUUAGCUACUCAUCCUUUUGUUCGAGUUGUUUGAUUCCGCUGGUAUUUAAUAUCAAUUGUGCAUUGUAUCGAACGAAAAUAUUAAA